rnacentral:rRNA from 1 species
AGAAUCAACGCUGGCGGCGUGCCUAACACAUGCAAGUCGAACGAGAAAGUGGAGCAAUCCAUGAGUAAAGUGGCGCACGGGUGAGUAACACGUGACUAACCUACCUUUUAGUGGGGGAUAACCUAGGGAAACCUGGGCUAAUACCGCAUAACACUUACGAGUCAAAGCAACAAUGCGCUUGGAGAGGAGUUCGCGGCAGAUUAGUUAGUUGGCGGGGUAAUGGCCCACCAAGACGAUGAUCUGUA